rnacentral:sRNA from 1 species
ACCAUGUUAUGAUGUAGUAGAUGUUUGAUAAGUUUCGAGUUUUUAAGGUUUCUUGUUUUGUUUUAUUAUAGAAUGACUUCCUUAUUAGAUUCAAACUACAGCAGCAUUAAUAUAUUUUUUUACGGAGGUUUCAUAUUAUGAAACAAGGUACUGUUAAAUGGUUCAACGCAGAUAAAGGUUACGGCUUCAUUACUACUGACGAUGGUGACGUAUUUGUUCACUUCUCAGCUAUCAACAAAGAUGGCUUUAAAACGCUUGACGAAGGCGAAAAAGUUACCUUAGACGUUGAAGAAGGCGACCGCGGCCCACAAGCUGCUAACGUUACUCCAAUCGAAGAGUAAUUUAUCUUUAAAAAGAACAUCCCGUUCGGGGUGUUCUUUUUU